AGUCCAUGGUGAGGACACCUUCGCAAUAGGUCCUUGUAUCUCUCCCAUGCAUCGUAAAGAGCUUCUAAGUCCAUCUGUACAAAUGAAGAGAUAUCAUUAUGUAAUU
rnacentral:snoRNA from 1 species